UAAACAUGUGCAUUAGCUAAGCAUGGCUAGC
rnacentral:piRNA from 1 species